rnacentral:rRNA from 1 species
UACGAAGGGGGGCUAGCGUUGCUCGGAAUCACUGGGCGUAAAGGGUGCGUAGGCGGGUCUUUAAGUCAGGGGUGAAAUCCUGGAGCUCAACUCCAGAACUGCCUUUGAUACUGAAGAUCUUGAGUUCGGGAGAGGUGAGUGGAACUGCGAGUGUAGAGGUGAAAUUCGUAGAUAUUAGGAAGAACACCAGUGGCGAAGGCGGCUCACUGGUCCGGUACUGACGCUGAGGUGCGAAAGCGUGGGGAGCAAACAGG